GAAGAGCAGAAGGCAGGACUGAG
rnacentral:piRNA from 1 species